GGGGGGGGGGGGGGGGGGGGGUGGGGCGGGGGGGGGGGGCGGGGGGGCGGGGCGGGGGGGGGGGGGUCGGGGGGCGGGCGGGUGGGUGAGACGUGGGUAACCUGCCCCUGACUUUGGGGUGACUUCAGGAAACUGGGGCUAAUACCGGCUAGGAGCUCCUGCUGCAUGGGUGGGGGUGGAAAGGUUCGGCGGUUGGGGCUGGACUCGCUGCUUAUCAGCUUGUUGGUGGGGUAGUUGCUUACCACGGCCUUGACGGGUAGCCGGCCUGGGAGGGUGACCGGCCACAUUGGGACUGGGAUACGGCCCAGACUCCUACGGGAGGCAGCAGUAGGGAAUAUUGCAAAAUGGGCGGAAGCCUGAUGCAGCAACGCCGCGUGCGGGAUGACGGCCUUCGGGUUGUAAACCGCUUUCGCCUGUGACGAAGCGUGAGUGACGGUAAUGGGUAAAGAAGCACCGGCUAACUACGUG
rnacentral:rRNA from 1 species